rnacentral:rRNA from 1 species
UACAGAGGGUGCAAGCGUUGUCCGGAAUCACUGGGCGUAAAGGGCGCGUAGGCGGCCUGAUAAGUAGGGGGUGAAAUCCUGGGGCUUAACCUCAGGGCUGCCUUCUAGACUGUCCGGCUCGAGCACAGUAGAGGCAGGUGGAAUUCCCGGUGUAGCGGUGGGAUGCGUAGAGAUCGGGAAGAACAUCGGUGGCGAAGGCGACUUCCUGGCCUGUUCUUGACGCUGAGGCGCGAAAGCUAGGGGAGCAAACGGG